AGUGAACGCUGGCGGUAGGCCUAACACAUGCAAGUCGAACGGCAGCACAGUAAGAGCUUGCUCUUACGGGUGGCGAGUGGCGGACGGGUGAGGAAUACAUCGGAAUCUACUUUUUCGUGGGGGAUAACGUAGGGAAACUUACGCUAAUACCGCAUACGACCUACGGGUGAAAGCAGGGGAUCUUCGGACCUUGCGCGAUUGAAUGAGCCGAUGUCGGAUUAGCUAGUUGGCGGGGUAAAGGCCCACCAAGGCGACGAUCCGUAGCUGGUCUGAGAGGAUGAUCAGCCAGACUGGAACUGAGACACGGUCCAGACUCCUACGGGAGGCAGCAGUGGGGAAUAUUGGACAAUGGGCGCAAGCCUGAUCCAGCCAUACCGCGUGGGUGAAGAAGGCCUUCGGGUUGUAAAGCCCUUUUGUUGGGAAAGAAAAGCAGCAGGUUAAUACCCCGCUGUUCUGACGGUACCCAAAGAAUAAGCACCGGCUAACUUCGUG
rnacentral:rRNA from 1 species